AGAGUUUGAUCAUGGCUCAGGAUGAACGCUAGCGGCAGGCCUAAUACAUGCAAGUCGAACGGUAAGUAUUUUAGCAAUAGGAUACGAGAGUGACGUACGGGUGCGUAACACGUAUGCAACCUACCCAAAACAGGAGGAUAGCUCAGGGAAACUUGGAUUAACCCUCCAUAAGAUCGUGCCUUGGCAUCAGGGAGCGAUAAAAACCGCGAGGUGGUUUUGGAUGGGCAUGCGUAUGAUUAGUUAGUUGGUAGUGUAACGGACUACCAAGACGAUGAUCAUUAGGGGACCUGAGAGGGUGAUCCCCCACACUGGCACUGAGAUACGGGCCAGACUCCUACGGGAGGCAGCAGUAGGGAAUAUUGGUCAAUGGAUGGAAGUCUGAACCAGCCAUGCCGCGUGCAGGAAGACGGCCUUCUGGGUUGUAAACUGCUUUUGCCAGGGGAUAAAAGGCCCAUGCGUGGGACAUUGAAGGUACCUGGUGAAUAAGCCACGGCUAACUACGUGCCAGCCGCCGCGGUAAUAC
rnacentral:rRNA from 1 species